rnacentral:rRNA from 1 species
UACGUAGGGGGCUAGCGUUAUCCGGAAUUACUGGGCGUAAAGGGUGCGUAGGUGGUUUCUUAAGUCAGAGGUGAAAGGCUACGGCUCAAACCGUAGGUAAGCCUUUGAAACUGGGAAACUUGAGUGCAGGAGAGGAGAGUGGAAUUCCUAGUGUAGCGGUGAAAUGCGUAGAUAUUAGGAGGAACACCAGUUGCGAAGGCGGCUCUCUGGACUGUAACUGACACUGAGGCACGAAAGCGUGGGGAGCAAACAGGAUUAGAUACCCCCGUAGUCCCUGAGCGGGCU